GUGCCAGCACAAGAGGGAAGACGUAGGGUGCAAGCGUUAAUCGGAAUUACUGGGCGUAAAGCGUGCGCAGGCGGUUAUAUAAGACAGAUGUGAAAUCCCCGGGCUCAACCUGGGAACUGCAUUUGUGACUGUAUGGCUAGAGUACGGCAGAGGGGGAUGGAAUUCCGCGUGUAGCAGUGAAAUGCGUAGAUAUGCGGAGGAACACCGAUGGCGAAGGCAAUCCCCUGGGCCUGUACUGACGCUCAUGCACGAAAGCGUGGGGAGCAAACAGGAUUAGAUACCCUGGUAGUCCACGCCCUAAACGAUGUCAACUGGUUGUUGGGUCUUCACUGACUCAGUAACGAAGCUAACGCGUGAAGUUGACCGCCUGGGGAGUACGGCCGCAAGGUUGAAACUUAAAUGAAUUGACGG
rnacentral:rRNA from 1 species